GGCGCCUCAGCCUCGUGCCAGCUCUGCACUCUCCCUGAAGAGAAUGUUAGAUGGUUACAGUGAUUGCGUGUUCACUGCCUUCCUGCGCAGAACUCGAGCGUAGUUUAAUGGACCUUUAUUUCUUCAUUUGCAGUCGAUCUCCACCACUGGGACUGAGCUCCACAGAGGACCGGAAUCCUGGGUCUGACAUUGAGGUAGAAUUCAGGGCUUUUGCAUUUUCUAAGGAUCUCAAUGAAGCUUGCGUUCUGAAGGCCAGCGUCACGGUCAGAUUUGUAGCAGAGAAAGGGGCAAAUCAGCAUUCAUCAUGUGCAGGCGUGAAUAAAUGAAUGAAUGAA
rnacentral:lncRNA from 1 species